rnacentral:lncRNA from 1 species
CUUUCACAUAGCCAUAUAAUCCAGAAUAUCAAGGCAGAAAAUCCCACAAUAUCUGCUUUGAACUGGGUUAUCUGAGUCCACACUGCCAUAUAUUCCAGUUCAAAGCAGAAAAUGUGGGAUUUUAUUCAGCUGUGUGGAAGGAGCCUGAAUGAAUCAACAAAACCCUGGAGAAAAACACCAAGUUCUUGCCUUGGACAGUGGACUCUUCUCUAAGAUAGGAAUUCCAGGGAAAUGAAAUGAGUGGUCUACAGUACUCCGAACCGAUCGCGUUCCCCUUUGGGCGAGGACAGCGCCUACUUUGGGAUUGUUUGUAUUGUUUGUAGGGUGCAUUAAAAAGGCGCCCGUAAAGAACCCUUAAAAUUUCCGCUCCCGAGUCCGCGAAGGUGUCUCUUCCGAGCUCCUGUUGUGAGUCAUGGCCUUGGAGGGAGACCGCAACAAAAAAACCAGGCGCUACUUCUGCGGCGAGAAUCUCAGAGAAAGAGAGAGAGAGAUUGAGAAAGGGAAACCCUGUGGCUCCGGGGUAUAAAUGGGCUCCAGCAGCCCCGGGAGAGAAACGCUCGCUCAGCCUCGGAAGGGACUCUGGAGAAAGAGACAGGGAGAGACACUCCUCCGACAACCUGACAACCUGCCUGCCUGCCUACCUGCUUCCAAGAAGAUGCCAAGCCUCCGUUGCGCGCCCACCUUGCGACAAAGCAUCCCCGGGCCAAGUUCCUGGAUUCUGAUGGCUUUCCUUUUCACAACAUUACCCAGUUUAUUUGUGGCUUACCACAGCCCUGCUCAUGCAAGACGACUCAACACCUCAGAAAUAACAACCAAUUUAACCCAUUGCCUGACUGUUUCCUCCAAUUUGAUGGAGGCAGCAGAGAAUGCAUUCCAUCAGUUCCAGGUAUGGCAUACUUCCUUAGCAUUAUUAUUAUUAUUAUUUUAUAGUGCUCCUAGUGCACACAGAGUUCAUGUGACAAAAAAUACACUCCUGUACUUAAGAAGCUUACACUCAGAAUGGGACAGAGGAAAUAAUGGAUGAAAUGGAGGCAAGAUAAUCUCAAACGUUUAUGGGUUCAAUAGCAAGUAGGUGUUAGAACACUUACUUUAAUAAUAUAGACACAUAUGUAUUAACUAUAUAUCUCAUCUCAAAGUUUAAUGUGAUGUACAUCAUGUCUCCACAUCUCAAUAGCAGAGUAGAUUACUUAGAUUGAGAGAUUGGGUGUCAAGAAACAUAGAAUGUUAGAGUUGGAAGGGAUCACAAAGGUAAUCUAGUCCCACCCCUGCCAUGCAGGAAUGCACAACUAAAAAAUUCUUGAAACAUAUCUAUCCAACCCCUGUUUAAAGAUCUCAGAUUAAAGGCAGCCCACCAUCCCCAGAAGCUGUCUAUUCCACUAUUGGUCAACUCUUACCAAUAGUCAUGAAGUUCUUCCCAGUGUUCAAGUGGAAUCUCUUGUAUUAUACUUUGAAGCACUUGGUGCAUGCUGAACUCUUUCUGCCCCUUCCCCAGCCCUGGCCAGCAUAGCAGCACUAUUCUAAAUAGUAACUUACCAUUUCAUUUCUGAAAGGAGUGGCAGCCUGUAGCAUGCACAAUCCCAAACUGGCCCCAACAGGAUUUCACCAAGGAAAGAACCAACCAGAGUUGGGAGGGGUGGUCAAAUUUAUCUUUAUUUUUUGGUAUCUGGGUCACCUUUGGGGACUUUGUUUGCUCUUUUUGAAGAUGAGCGCGCAGGGAAAGCAUACUGAGCCGUGGUGCUUGGCUGCCUCUCACAUUCCAGAGAAAGGCAUUGAGUCAUCAAAGGUGUGUGCCAACUCCUGAGGUACAGGUUUAUCUGCCACUUACUAAGCAGAUUGAGCUGCAGACUAUCAUAAUGCACCUUAGAUGCAUGACAUAAAAACAUACAACAUUGUUUAAAAAUAAUUUCAGCCUUUCAGCAAUCAAUGCAUUAAGUAGCCAUGUUACUAGGCUGUGAAAUAUACGUGCCUGAGAGUAAGCACAAUUGAAUACAACCAGACUUAACUCUGUUUAGCUAUGUCACUUCAAAUGACACAUUAAACUGCUAUGUCAUUAUUUAAUAUGUUGUUGUUUUACCUCUAUUUUUAUGUAUUAUGGCACUUAUAUGUGCUUCUGCAAACCGCCCCUAGUCUAAAACGGUUCCGGCCCAGCUUACCUGUCCGAACGUAUCUUCCUCUAUGACCCACCUCAGAGGUUAAGAUCAUCAGGGGAGGGCCUGCUCUCAGUCCCACCCCCCUCGCAAGCACAACUGGUGAGGACAAGAAACAGGGCCUUCCCAGUGGUGGCCUCUCAUCUGUGGAACUCCCUCCCCAGUGAAAUUAAAUCCACCCCAUCCCUCCUGACCUUCAGGAAAAAACUGAAAACAUGGAUCUGGGAUCAGGAGUAGUGCAAUAUGAGACUACAAAUUAACAUAAUGACAACUCGGACUGGCCCUGAAAUACAAUU